GGGCCCGCACAAGCGGUGGAGCAUGUGGUUUAAUUCGAUGAUACGCGAGGAACCUUACCAGGGCUUAAAUGUAAGUUGCAUGGAUCAGAGAUGAUCCUUUCUUCGGACCACUUACAAGGUGCUGCAUGGUUGUCGUCAGCUCGUGCCGUGAGGUGUCAGGUUAAGUCCUAUAACGAGCGCAACCCCUAUCGUUAGUUGCCAGCAAGUUAAGUUGGGUACUCUAGUGAGACUGCCGGUGCAAACCGAGAGGAAGGUGGGGAUGACGUCAAAUCAUCACGGCCCUUACGUCCUGGGCUACACACGUGCUACAAUGGCCGGUACAGAGAGCAGCCACCACGCGAGUGGGAGCGAAUCUUUAAAGCCGGUCUCAGUUCGGAUCGCAGUCUGCAACUCGACUGCGUGAAGCUGGAAUCGCUAGUAAUCG
rnacentral:rRNA from 1 species